rnacentral:misc_RNA from 1 species
AACGCACCUUGCGCUCCUUGGUAUUCCGAGGAGCAUGCCUGUUUGAGUGUCAUUAAAUUCUCAACCUCACCAGUUUUCUAAACUGUUCUUCGAGGCUUGGAUGUGGGGGUUUGUGCAGGCUGCCUCUGGCGGUCUGCUCCCCUGAAAUGCAUUAGCGAGUUCAUACUGAGCUCCGUCUAUUGGUGUGAUAAUUAUCUACGCCGUGGACGAGGUUCAGACUUGCUUCUAACCGUCCGUAAGGACAAUACCUUGACAAUUUGACCUCAAAUCAGGUAGGACUACCCGCUGAACUUAA